GACGUAGGGCGCGAGCGUUUGUCCGGAUUAUUGGGCGUAAAGAGCUCGUAGGCGGCUUGUCGCGUCGUUCGUGAAACCUGCAGCUCAACUGCAGGCUUGCGGUCGAUACGGGCAGGCUAGAGUUCGGUAGGGGAGACUGGAAUUCCUGGUGUAGCGGUGAAAUGCGCAGAUAUCAGGAGGAACACCGGUGGCGAAGGCGGGUCUCUGGGCCGAUACUGACGCUGAGGAGCGAAAGCGUGGGGAGCGAACAGG
rnacentral:rRNA from 1 species